rnacentral:rRNA from 1 species
AUUGAACGCUGGCGGCAUGCCUAACACAUGCAAGUCGAGCGGAUGAAGGGAGCUUGCUCCUGGAUUCAGCGGCGGACGGGUGAGUAAUGCCUAGGAAUCUGCCUGGUAGUGGGGGAUAACGUCCGGAAACGGGCGCUAAUACCGCAUACGUCCUGAGGGAGAAAGUGGGGGAUCUUCGGACCUCACGCUAUCAGAUGAGCCUAGGUCGGAUUAGCUAGUUGGUGGGGUAAAGGCCUACCAAGGCGACGAUCCGUAACUGGUCUGAGAGGAUGAUCAGUCACACUGGAACUGAGACACGGUCCAGACUCCUACGGGAGGCAGCAGUGGGGAAUAUUGGACAAUGGGCGAAAGCCUGAUCCAGCCAUGCCGCGUGUGUGAAGAAGGUCUUCGGAUUGUAAAGCUCUUUUGGUAGGGAGGAAGCGGAAUAAGCUAAUAUCUUUCUGUUUUGACGUUACCUACAGAAUAAGCACCGGCUAACUUCGUG